rnacentral:rRNA from 1 species
UGCCAGCCGCCGCGGUAAUACGGAGGGUGCAAGCGUUGUUCGGAAUUAUUGGGCGUAAAGAGCGUGUAGGCGGUUUGUUAAGUCGACUGUGAAAGCCCAGGGCUCAACCCUGGAAGUGCAGUCGAUACUGGCUAACUUGAGUCCCGGAGAGGAUGGUGGAAUUCCCAGUGUAGAGGUGAAAUUCGUAGAUAUUGGGAGGAACACCGGUGGCGAAGGCGGCCAUCUGGACGGGUACUGACGCUGAGACGCGAAAGCGUGGGGAGCAAACAGGAUUAGAUA